rnacentral:rRNA from 1 species
GAUGAACGCUGGCGGCGUGCCUAAUACAUGCAAGUCGAGCGAACAGACGAGGAGCUUGCUCCUCUAACGUUAGCGGCGGACGGGUGAGUAACACGUGGAUAACCUACCUAUAAGACUGGGAUAACUUCGGGAAACCGGAGCUAAUACCGGAUAAUAUAUUGAACCGCAUGGUUCAAUAGUGAAAGACGGUUUUGCUGUCACUUAUAGAUGGAUCCGCGCCGCAUUAGCUAGUUGGUAAGGUAACAGCUUACCAAGGCAACGAUGCGUAGCCGACCUGAGAGGGUGAUCGGCCACACUGGAACUGAGACACGGUCCAGACUCCUACGGGAGGCAGCAGUAGGGAAUCUUCCGCAAUGGGCGAAAGCCUGACGGAGCAACGCCGCGUGAGUGAUGAAGGUCUUCGGAUCGUAAAACUCUGUUAUUAGGGAAGAACAAAUGUGUAAGUAACUAUGCACGUCUUGACGGUACCUAAUCAGAAAGCCACGGCUAACUACGUGC